rnacentral:rRNA from 1 species
CACACCGCCCGUCACAUCACGAAAGUUGGUUGUACCGGAAGCCGGUGAGCUAACCCUCUGGGAGGCAGCCGUCCAUGGUAUGACCAGCGAUUGGGGUG